UAUGGCUAUAACUAUGUUGAAGGUUAGAGCUGAAGAUUAGAGAAGGAAACAGGACUGGGAAGGGAUGAAUAAAGCAGGGAUAUAAUGCCCCUGUGGAUGGACUAUAAUCUUUGCUUCAAGUCUGCUUCCCGUAUCUAAUAUUUGAAAAGAAAGGGCAAGGAUUGUAUGACAAGAAAUUUCUAUCGGGCUGGCAUACACUCUGUUGCUAUGGGUAUAGAAGAAUGAGGAAGUACCAAGAAGGCCUUGUUAGCAUGUUAUACUAAAAUGAAGAUGAUAAUUAGAUUGCUGUCCAUGCCGCCUACUCUCUUGACUUUGGGGUAUCCUUGAGCAAGAAUUUUGUCUCCAAGUGACAAGUUCAAGACACGCUUGCUCAGAACUUAAGUUCUGCUACUCUCCAAAGGGUGUUCUCCAGAGUAAAUAUUGCAGAGAGGCUUUAUCACAAUUCCUUUGCGAGGUGAGUUGGUUGCUGUUCUCUCUGACUGGAAGCUUUCUAUCAAUAUUUUCCCGUUCCUUUUCUCUUACCAGGGAGUUUUUACUGUGGGGUAGUUCUGGCUUGUUAAUAGUUUACCACCCUUACUUGGGCAACAUAGCCCAAGGUAACCCAAAAUGGCUGAUGUUGAUGCUGUUGAUAUAAGUCCAAAAUAUUGAUUGGUUUAAAACAAAUGAAUCCCUAUUUUUGUUAUUGCUGCUGCUAUUGUUGUUGUUACUACUGCUGUUGUAACUUAGUUCCCACUUGAAUUUUCUAAUCUGCCACCUGCUACCGCUUGCAAAACCUGUCCUGGAUCAUUUCCAACACCUGCCCAGUUGCAAGCAUGUGUAAAAUCUGAAUGGGCUCAAAAUGUUGGAAUACUGCAUCAAGGUUGUAGGAAGAGGAGCAGGUCUUGACUUUAUCAAAUCCUCCUGCUUAAAACCCCAACCCAAAAUGAAAGGCGAUACUUGCUAAAGAGCCAUAAUAAUAGCAGCCUAGAAAUGCUGAAAUCUCUUUAUUCUGAUUUUUAUCUUAUUCUUUCUGGAAAUGUUCACAUAAAAAUGGAAAGAUUGAAAAUAAUAAAUGAUGAGAACUUUACCUCA
rnacentral:lncRNA from 1 species